AUUGAACGCUGGCGGCAGGCCUAACACAUGCAAGUCGAACGAGUGGCGGACGGGUGAGUAAUGUCUGGGAAACUGCCUGAUGGAGGGGGAUAACUACUGGAAACGGUAGCUAAUACCGCAUACCAUCGGAGGUGCCCAGAUGGGAUUAGCUAUGAGGUGGGGUAAAGGCUCACCUAGGCGACGAUCCCUAGCUGGGCGGAGAGGAUGACCAGCCAACCUGGAACUGAGACACGGUCCAGACUCCUACGGGAGGCAGCAGUGGGGAAUAUUGCACAAUGGGCGAAAGCCGGAUGCAGCAAUGCCGCGGGUAUGAAGAAGGCCUUCGGGUUGUAAAGUAUUUUCAGCGGGGAGGCGUUACCUGCACAAGAAGCGCCGGCUAACUCCGUGCCAGCAGCCGCGGUAAUUC
rnacentral:rRNA from 1 species